rnacentral:rRNA from 1 species
GCAUGCGAUCAUACCAGCACUAAAGCACCGGAUCCCAUCAGAACUCCGAAGUUAAGCGUGCUUGGGCGAGAGUAGUACUAGGGUGGGUGACCUCCUGGGAAGUCCUCGUGUUGCAUUUC